CACGUAGGGUGCGAGCGUUGUCCGGAAUUAUUGGGCGUAAAGAGCUCGUAGGCGGUGUGUCGCGUCGGCCGUGAAAACCUGCAGCUUAACUGUGGGCGUGCGGUCGAUACGGGCAUCACUGGAGUUCGGCAGGGGAGACUGGAAUUCCUGGUGUAGCGGUGAAAUGCGCAGAUAUCAGGAGGAACACCGGUGGCGAAAGGCGGGGUCUCUGGGGCCGAUACUGACGCUGAGGAGCGAAAAGCGUGGGGGAGCAAACAGG
rnacentral:rRNA from 1 species